CAGUGAUGUCGGCCCUUCCGCCAAUGAUUCGCGUUCAAGGAGCGCAAGCGAAGAAGAGAAAAUUGGCGGAUCAACUUCCACUCCGGCUCCAGAGCCUAAAGAAAACCCAGCGUCGGCUCAUGCUAACCCGGCAAAGGAUAAACCUGAUGACCAAGCUGACCUUCCAAGUUCUCCCAAGGAAGGCAUCGAAACGCCCAACCCGCCAAGUCCGUUGAAGAGGGCUGAAGAUCGUGACGCUGUAAUCAUUACUAGUACUGGCUUUUCUAAGCUGGUUUCGACAGUCUUAUCGAAGCAUGUAUCAACAUCGUCCCAUCCUUCCACUGGACAUGAAAUCUCCAAGGUCAAACUUUCUCAAUAUGAAAAUCUUGAGUUUAAA